UACGAAGGGGGCUAGGCGUUGCUCGGAAUCACUGGGCGUAAAGCGCACGUAGGCGGCUUCUUAAGUCAGGGGUGAAAUCCUGGAGCUCAACUCCAGAACUGCCCUUGAUACUGAGAGGCUCGAGUCCGGGAGAGGUGAGUGGAACUCCGAGUGUAGAGGUGAAAUUCGUAGAUAUUCGGAAGAACACCAGUGGCGAAGGCGGCUCACUGGCCCGGUACUGACGUUCGA
rnacentral:rRNA from 1 species